rnacentral:rRNA from 1 species
CCUACGGGUGGCAGCAGUGAGGAAUAUUGGUCAAUGGGCGGAAGCCUGAACCAGCCAAGUAGCGUGCAGGAUGACGGCCCUACGGGUUGUAAACUGCUUUUAUACGGGAAUAACGCGCCUUACGUGUAGGGCUUUGCAUGUACCGUAUGAAUAAGGACCGGCUAAUUCCGUGCCAGCAGCCGCGGUAAUACGGAAGGUCCGGGCGUUAUCCGGAUUUAUUGGGUUUAAAGGGAGCGUAGGCGGCAUGUCAAGCGUGUUGUGAAAUGUCCGGGCUCAACCCGGGCCUUGCAGCGCGGAAUGGCAGGCUUGAGUCCGAGGAAAGCAGGCGGAAUUCGUGGUGUAGCGGUGAAAUGCUUAGAUAUGACGAAGAACCCCGAUGGCGAAGGCAGCUUGCUGCAGCGGAACUGACGCUGAUGCUCGAAAGCGCGGGUAUCGAACAGGAUUAGAUACCCGAGUAGUC